GACCUUAGUUGCCAGCAUUCAGUUGGGCACUCUAAGGUGACUGCCGGCUAAAAGUCGGAGGAAGGUGGGGAGUGACGUCAAAUCAUCAUGCCCUUAUGACCUGGGCUACACACGUGCUACAAUGGGCGGGUACAAAGGGUCGCGAACCCGCGAGGGGGGAGGCCAAUCCCAAAAAGACCGCUCUCAGUUCGGAUUGCAGGCUGCAACUCGCCUGCAUGAAGCCGGAAUCGCUAGUAAUCGCGGAUCAGCAUGCCGCGGUGAAUACGUUCCCGGGCCUU
rnacentral:rRNA from 1 species